GAUGAACGCUGGCGGCGUGCCUAAUACAUGCAAGUCGAGCGAACGGACGAGAAGCUUGCUUCUCUGAUGUUAGCGGCGGACGGGUGAGUAACACGUGGAUAACCUACCUAUAAGACUGGGAUAACUUCGGGAAACCGGAGCUAAUACCGGAUGAUAUUUUGAACCGCAUGGUUCAAAAGUGAAAGACGGUCUUGCUGUCACUUAUAGAUGGAUCCGCGCUGCAUUAGCUAGUUGGUAAGGUAACGGCUUACCAAGGCAACGAGGCGUAGCCGACCUGAGAGGGUGAUCGGCCACACUGGAACUGAGACACGGUCCAGACUCCUACGGGAGGCAGCAGUAGGGAAUCUUCCGCAAUGGGCGAAAGCCUGACGGAGCAACGCCGCGUGAGUGAUGAAGGUCUUCGGAUCGUAAAACUCUGUUAUUAGGGAAGAACAUAUGUGUAAGUAACUGUGCACAUCUUGACGGUACCUAAUCAGAAAGCCACGGCUAACUACGUG
rnacentral:rRNA from 1 species